CGCCCAGCCCAUUUAGAAUUAUUUUUUAUGUAUCGUGUAUGAUACGGGGUCUACUUUCAUUCCUUUGUUACACGGACCACUGAGUGUGCUGGCUCCAUCCUUUUCCCAGUGUACCUCUUACAUGCCAGGUUUCUGUAUCUGGUGGGUCUGCCUCUGAGCUGUCCAUCUGUUCCCUUAGUCAAUUUGUCCACUUAGGUUAAUGGCAUCUCCCUCUAUAGUGAUGGAUCAAGAGGGACUGAUGCUGGGUUAAUCAAGCACUUAUCCCGUACUGUAAUCGCACCUGCAUAUGGACUGUGUGGUUAGAAUUGGCCCGCUGGCUUAAUAAAACAUGGUCCAUGCACUCAUGGAGCUCCCAGACACAUAUUUAAAUCCUGAUGCAAUGUAAUAGUGUGGCAAUGGAAGAAUAUUUGAAAUGUUAUGAGAAAAAAACAGUGAAGGAAACAAUUAAUUCUAGGAAGAGGGUGUCCAAGAAGGUAACAGUUAUGGAAGCUGACUAUGUCAAACAGUAGGUGUAUAACAUCAUGGGUGAGAGCUGAGAUCUAGAGGUAGACAAACUCAUAUUUGAAUCCAAGCACCCACACUCAUUAGCUGUGUGACCCUGACAAAUCCCUGAGACCUCGAUGAGCCUUGACAUCCUUACCUAUCCCACAGGGGUAAUAAUAGUGCCUACCUCAGAAGGUUGUUGGGAAAAUUAAAAUACAUCAUGUGUCAGGAGCACAUAGCAGUACCUGACGUAUUGUUAAGUGCUCAGUAAACAUAAACCUCUGAAUUCAUCCAAUAAUACUGAGUACCUUCUGUGUGCCAGACAUGGUAAUAGGCAUAAAUACAAGUCUGAGCAAAGCAAAUGGUCUCAGCACUCAUGUAGUUUUCAGUGGGAUAGAUAGGUGCUCAUCAAAUAAUGACACAAUUAGAUCAUGAAAGACUUUGAUGAGAACUACAAAGGGAAAUUAUAUAGUAAGCUAAGACAGAGUUGAAUAGGGAAAUGUGAUUUAUGAUUAUUAUUUUCACUACUUCUGAGCCAAAACUUGAAGGAUGAUUAGGAGUUUCUGGGGGAGUGGCAGGAGGGGAAGGUCAUUCAGGCAUUCUGAACUUCAGAGGAAAAGGCCUGGAAUGGGGAAAGCUCUUCCCAAAGUCAGGGGCAAGGGCAAAGUACUCCUCACUGCCCAGAGGCUUCAGGGGGAUUUUUCUUACCCACCUUUCCCAGGAGACAGGCAAGAAAAGGAAGCCGAGUGACUGCCUGUGGCUCCCAAAACAUGUCUUGGCACUCAGUGAACCCCAGUUUUUGGUCAGUGUGAAAAAUUCUCAGUGCCAUUGGCCAGCUCCUUGGUAAUAAUAGGCUGAACAUGAAUGGCGAAAAUGGCUCAAAUUGAAUUGCAAUGAAGUCUUUUUGAUGUAAGUGUUGAUUAGAAAAGGAUUUAGGACUGACUUUAAUUCGGUGCUCCAAAGCUCAAAGAUUAGAAAAAAAGCACUCAGAGAAAAGAAAGUUGUGAUUAAAGGUUUUCCUAAGACAUACGUGAAGUAUUUUGACAGGCUGACAGUGAACACUAUUUCUCAUUUAGAGUAAAUGUGAUUAAGAGUUAUAUUUGCAAGAAGGGAAAACUAGGUGAGUAUGAGGGAUUUUGUUCUGGAACAAGUACAAUCCAAUAGCUCUCAAAUUUUAGUGGAGCCUGCUAGCAAAUUUAGGCUCCUUGGCCAUCCCCUAGACUCGGUGGGAGUGCCCUGGGCCCAGGGCUCUGCAUUUUUAACCAGUGCUCCGUGCCACCCUACCCCCAACCUGCCCAAGGGAUUUCUGAUGCUGGAGAAUUCACUGUGAAAAACCUUAUAGACUUAAGUCUUUAACUCUUUCCUUUCUUUGUCUUUGCUUUCAAAUUCCUUUUUUAGAAGGAUCUCAAGAUUGGGCUCUGGACUUGGGUGACUUCAGUUAGAGUCCCAGCUCUGCCACUUACUAACAUGCAACCUUGGACAAAUUACUGAACCCUUCUGAGCCCUUCCUUCCCUUCUGGUGUGGAAAGGCUUCUGUGAGGAUGUAACAGGGUAAUAAGUGAGUGUGUCUGGCACAGGCGCUGGCAUAUAGUGAGCAGGCAACAUGGGGCACGCUCCUACCCAUCGCAUGGAAGGUGGACAGCACGCUCCUACCCAUCGCAUGGAAGGUGGACAGCACCAGGCAGACAUCUGGUCCUGCACACAGUCCCUCUUGUUCUGACUGCUGAACUUUUGCUGUUACUUCUUCUCGGAUAAACUUCCAUCUCAUUCUCAUAUUCAUUUUAUUUAUUUAUUUAUUUAUUUGAGACAGGGUCUCACUCUGUCACCCAAGCUGGAGUGCAGUGGUGUGAUCACAGCUCACUGCAGCCUUGACCUCCCAGGCUCAAGCAAUCCUCCCACCUCAGCCUCUGCCUCCCACAUUCCUGGGAUUACAGGCAUAAACUACUGUACCCAGCCAUAGUUCCCAUAUACAUUUAACUAAAUUAUUUUCAGAGCUCAACUGAAGUCCCAUUUCUAUGAAAUCUUUCACUGCAGCAGUAGCUUUAGCUUCCAGAGAUGUUUUCUUUCUCUAGAUUACUGUUAUGGCUUUAAUCCACACCUGCCCCAUUUAGGUUCUGGUUACAUUCUGCUUUAUACUGAUUUUUAAUCAUUACAUGGGCAUUUUGUCAUCUCAUCUAAAAUAAAACUCUUGGAGGUCAGGGUCAAUAUUUUGCUUCUAGUAACUGCAGGAAAAACCUGUAUACAUGAAAAGGAGGUAGAAGUUUGCAUUGCCAAGCUGGGUGUGGUGGCUCACGCCUGUAAUCCCAGCACUUUGGGAGGCCAAGGUGGACAGAUUUCUUGAGCCCUAGAGUUUGAGACCAGCCUGGGUAGCGUGGUGAAACUCUACAAAAACUACAAAAAGUAAAUCAGACAUGGUGGUAGGUGCCCGUAGUGCCAGCUACUUCAGGAAGCUGAGCCCAGGAAGUUGAGGCUACAAUGAGCUGUGAUCGAGCCAUUGCACUCCAGCCUGGAUGACAGAGUGAGACCUGUCUCAACAACAACAACAACAACAAAAGGAGUUUGCAUUGACUAGCUUGAGGUACUCUCUUUUUCUUUCGAGAUGGGGUCUUGCUCUGUUGCCCAGGUUGGAGUGCAGCGUCAUGAUUAUACUUCACUGCAGCUGUGAUCUCCUGGACUCACGCAAACCUCCCACCUCAGCCUUCUGAGUAGCUGAGACUACAGUUGUGCGCUACCUACCAUGCCUGGCUAAUUUUAUUUUUAUUUGUUAUUAUUAUUUUUUUAGAGACAGGGUCUCACUAUGUUGCCCAGGCUGGUCUUGAAUUCUUGGGCUCAAGCGAUUCUUCUGCCUCAGCCUCCUGAGUAUCUGAGAGUACAGUCUCGAGCCACCAUGCCCAGCUGAUGUAAUUUUUCUUGCCUAGUGAAGAGUGAAGGCUCUGAAUUUUCAUAAUUCUCAUAUAUGAAUUCUUAAAUAAUUUUCAAAGAAUCAUGCAUUCUUUAUAUUCGAUUUCACAUUUCACAUAUACAGAAAUAUGUGAAAUUCAUUAGCAAACUAUAUCUACCCCUUUCUCCUCAACACACGCACACUCCAAAGGAGGGACAAUUGGAAGCCAAGAUUAUCAUAAAAAAGCUGUUGGUACUAGGAUGCUAAUCUCCGCAGUUUCCACUGGGGGCCGGUGUCCUCUCCUCUUAUGUGCACACAUGCUGAUGCGGGGGGUUGUCAUCCUCAGUCCCAACCCCUUCCUGGUUGGUUGUGAAUGGGUCUGGAGGCUUCUGGUGGCUGUCCCUAUCACUGCCCCACUGUGGCUGUACUCUGAGGCAGAGGCUCUGCAUCACUGCUCUUCAAAUGUUUUGCUUAGACACUGUUCUCUUCCCAUCCCCAAAAAGGACACCCUCUUCAAGCAAAAUGCCCUCAGCCAGCAGUUGACAGUCUGCACUGAAUAUUAUCACAGCUGCUCAGAAGCAGGUUGGCAGUUCCUGGGAGGCUGGGCUGGGGGCAUUUGCGUGACACAUCCCUGUGUGGCAGUCUUCACUUUCGGUCUUGAAAUAAAGCAUGCAACUUUUGAAUUUCCUCUACCUUAGUUUUCUGUCUUCUGGGGACAUUGUUUCCAAAAGGGCGGCUUUCAGAGGUCUCAACCUCAUGGUCUGGGAGCUUGAUCUUUCAUCCCCAGCCCUUUCCCUUUUCCUCCUGGGAAGCCCAACGUCUUUCCUGCAAUGUGACUUCUACAGGCCUGCUGUGGCAUCCCAGUGACAUCCAGGAAAGGCCCCCCCUUCAUCUUGACACCAAAUGUAAGCAUCCAAGGUAAGCAUCCUGCCAUGAAGUGGGUCUGCAAAUGGGUGAAAGAAUCUUUUUAAAAAGUUACCAUUUCUCUUAGAAGAAAAAUCUCAGUUUAAACUCUGACAACCAGUUUCUCUGGUCAACUCCCGUUUCUCUAGUACAUUUUCACAUGAAGUUGGGCAGACUUGUCCUCCCACUUUUGAGAACAGAGAACACCUAAUUUUCACAGUCCAGAUUCCCUAUUUGUAUUAAAAGAAUCUCUCCGUAUGUUUGUCAAACCCUGAAGGCUUUCUUGGCUUGUAUGAUUUUAUCCUUUACAAAACAUCUUACUCAAUUUAGGAUGAGAAAACAAACCCAUGACAAACUUUCACUGCCCAUGGGUGUUUACCAUAAACUCCCCUACUGCCUGCAGAGACUUUUUGUUGUGGUCCUGUAAGUUGACGAAUGAAAAGAACUUACUUUUCCAACUUUCUUUGGCUUACUUUGUAGUGAGGUUUUGCAAGGUUCUCAGCAGGAGGAAAUUAAGGAGGACCAGGACCAGACAUCUAUAGAUCUGUCCGUUUCUAGAGAACAAGUACAUUUUACAGGACUCUACAAAAGACAGUUCGCAGCACUGUACUUCAGAGCAGAGUCAAAAGACCAAGUCACGUGAAGUGGCUUACAGUGAGGAG
rnacentral:lncRNA from 10 species